rnacentral:rRNA from 1 species
GGAGUUUGGGCCGUGUCUCAGUCCCAAUGUGGCCGUUCACUCUCUCAAGCCGGCUACUGAUCGUCGCCUUGGUGGGCCGUUACCUCACCAACUAGCUAAUCAGACGCGGGUCCAUCCCAUAGCGCAAAAGCUUUCAAUACAGAAGCAUGCGGAUCUGUAUUACUAUGCGGUAUUAGCAGUCAUUUCUAACUGUUGUCCCCCUCUAUGGGGCAGGUUACCCACGCGUUACUCACCCGUCCGCCACUAAGUCACCCUCGGGUGUGUCCGCUCGUAGCAAGCUACUCACUUCCACGGAUGAGGGUGCUUCGUUCGACUUGCAUGUGUUAAGCACGCCGCCAGCGUUCAUC